UUGAAGACAUCCAAGUUCCCUUUAUUUUUUUUUCUUUUUUUCUUUUUCCUUCUUCAAUUUGCAGAGAACUUCUAAGAGAGAAUUUGGAAGAAGAAGAGAAAUUUUACUAGAAUUUUUAGGUUGAAGAAGAGGAGGAGAACUCAAGCAAAGUGUAUCAAUGGCUGAAUUUUAGUUCAUUCUGCACAUCACUGGUUUUUAAUUCGGUUUGAACUCUUCAAAAGGAAUUAAGAGAAAACAGGGCAGUUGGUUUUCACUCGAAAUCAGGAGGUCUCUGGUUUUUCUUGUAUUUCAGAGUGUAUCGGUGGAAUUAAAAUCUCUAUUUUGUAUGGGACAAGUUAAAGAGGUCGUGUGCGCGCGAUUCUGGAAGUGGUUCUAUUUUGAGGGUUAUAUGUGUUUAUGCACGGGGAAUCAGAUUUAUAUGUCUUCAGGCCGAGAAGAAUUAAACCGAGCUUAUAGACCAAGGAUCUAGCCCAAGACUGUGAGUGACAAAACUAACUUUGAAAUAUUUUCCAUAAUUGUUAUUAUGAUUGAAUGCGAUAAAUGUUUAUUUACGAAGCCAUUAAAGGUAUUCGAAUUUCAUGACUAUUUUCAAGUAUACAUUUGGAGACUAGAUUUCUUAAAGAAAUUUAUGCUAGCACGUAGAUAUUAAAUGUUUGGAAAGUAUUUAAACAACAAUAUUUUAACCAAAGCAUGAAUUAGUAUGAAGUUUUGUUUUAAGAACUACAAUUUUCCACGAAAGAGCUGAGUAAAGUUCGAGCUUUAUGUAAAAUUAUAAGCAGGCAUGAUUUAAUAUUUUAAGAUGAUUUAUGAAAUUUUCAUUAACUACAUGACUGAGAUCUUGAGCCUGAGGCUAGAGAUUACCGUGUGCACACUGGUUAGAUUCCGUUGUUGACGUUGAGUGUACUCCGAUGCUGUCGUGAGUGCUGGGCAGGCCCCACUACGACAAAGACGAUGGGAGUGCUGGGCGGGCCCUACUACAUCGUAGUGCUUGUAAACGUUGUUGUACUAGGUGUACCCUACACCACGUAGAUUCGUCGUGUUAGGUAUUGAUCGACUUCCCGGUGCCUGAUAGACGUCCUUAGUCUGCGGAAGCUUCAUUAUCGAUUGUCAGUACGUGUUUUGAGUUCGGCAUAGAGUCUGUUGUGUUGUAAUGUAUAUACACCCUUGUAUGUUAUAGAUACUCAAAAGUUUGUAUAAGCUUUAGGAGCUAUAGUUGUGUAAAUUUUGUUGGUUAUAUUUUGAUUAAGGUGCUUUAAGUCUAUCCGUGAAAUCGGUAAAUUUUGAGGUACACUUCAUGUAUGUGUUUGACUAGCUGUGUUUGACUAGCCUAGGAUCUGCUGUGUUUUGUGGCAUGUACAAUAGUUUAUAUACUAGAUUGGCAAGUUCAUCACAUGAAAGUUUUAAGCAGAGUCGACAGAUACAGGUACAAAAAAGCGUUGUUCGUCGGCUUCACGCCAUCUUUCGAUCUAAGGUAGCAGGUAGUCCGGGAGGGGGUGUGACACUCCACUUCGGGUCACGGUGAGUCUUCGGUGAUAGGGGUUUGACGCUCAAGUUCACGGUCCCACGGCAAGUUCAUUUGGGAAUAGCUCCCUUUACUCGGGUGGAUCUGUUGAGCGUGGACUCGAUUGAGGGGCAUAACCAAGUAUCAGGUAAGGGUACAGCGAGGGGUAGACCGACGAGGGGCAAGAAGGAUGCGUGAAGGCCAUAUGGAUGCGUCUGGUUUUCUUUAUGCUUCCGCUGAUGUAUUUUGUUAGAAUAUUUGGUUUUGUGAUUGUGAGUUUGAUGACUUGAGUAUUGUAUUUGAAACUCUCGUGACUGUGAUUUAAAAUAGGGUCCGAAACUGUUUUUGUAAUAUUUCUAACGUUUUUAAUGAAUCGUAACCGGUCCGUUAUGAGUU